CCUACGGGUGGCUGCAGUGGGGGAUAUUGCACAAUGGGGGAAACCCUGAUGCAGCGAAGCCGCGUGAGUGAAGAAGUUUUUCGGUAUGUAAAGCCCCAUCAGCCGGGAAGCAAAAACACGGUACCUGACUCAGAAGCCCCGGCUAACCACGGGCCAGCAGGCUCGGUAAUACGUAGGGGGCAAGCGAUAACCGGAUUUACUGGGUGUAAAGGGAGCGUAGAGGGCAAUACAAGUCGGAAGUGAAAUACCCGGGCUCAACCUGGGGACCGCUGUGGAAACUGUAUGGCUGGAGUGCUGGAGAGGUAAGCGGAAUGCGUGGUGUAGCGGUGAAAUGCGUAGAUAUUAGGAGGAACACCAGUGGCGAAGGCGGCAUGCUGGACAGUAACUGACGUUGAGGCUCGAAAGCGUGGGGAGCGAACAGGAUUAGAUACCCCGGUAGUC
rnacentral:rRNA from 1 species